UACGUAGGGUGCGAGCGUUGUCCGGAAUUAUUGGGCGUAAAGAGCUUGUAGGCGGUUUGUCGCGUCUGCUGUGAAAAUCCGGGGCUCAACCCCGGACUUGCAGUGGGUACGGGCAGGCUAGAGUGUGGUAGGGGAGACUGGAAUUCCUGGUGUAGCGGUGGAAUGCGCAGAUAUCAGGAGGAGCACCGAUGGCGAAGGCAGGUCUCUGGGCCACUACUGACGCUGAGAAGCGAAAGCAUGGGGAGCGAACAGG
rnacentral:rRNA from 1 species